rnacentral:misc_RNA from 1 species
UUGUGGAGGAGGACGCCGAAGGUGGGGCUAAUGACUGGGGUGAAGUCGUAACAAGGUAGCCGUACCGGAAGGUGCGGCUGGAUCACCUCCUAACAGGGAGACAACAAAAUGUUAAAUAUUAAUUUUGUCACCUUAGGUCGAUCGGUAUCUCACAUUCUUAAUUUUUAAGAAUUUUAUUUCCUAAGUUUUUCUAGGUCACACCCAUCAUUUUUCCUGGGCCAUUAGCUCAGGUGGUUAGAGCGCACCCCUGAUAAGGGUGAGGUCCCUGGUUCAAGUCCAGGAUGGCCCAUAUCUCUAUGUUGGGGGUAUAGCUCAGUUGGUAGAGCGCCUGCUUUGCAAGCAGGAUGUCAGCGGUUCGAGUCCGCUUACCUCCACUGAUUACCACCUCUUCCAUAAUAUGUAGAAGGGAAAUUUUGAGUUGUGAUCUAAUCCUGAACGAAUCUAGCUUCCUAAUUAAAUUUAAUUAAGAUGCUGGACUCAUUGAAUUAAUUUCAUUGUUUUCAGAGAACCUUGACAACUGCAUAGAUUAUUUUUAAAGACAAUAAGCAUCUUUUAAUGAUGCAGAUUUAUUAUUUGUGCGAAUGCAUUAAUAACAAUUCUAUUAAGCUGAUGCUUCAAUUUUGAAGUUAUUGGUCAAGCUACAA